UCGUCUUUCUCCAUGCUGGAUGCUUCCUGCCCUUGGACAUCAAACUUCAAGUUUUUCAGAUUUUGCACUCUUGGACUUAUACCGUUGGUUCGCCAGGGGCCCUCAGACCUUCAACCACAUACUGAAGGCUAGACUGUCGGCUUCUCUAUUUUUGAGAUUUUGCGACUCAGACUGGCUUCCUUGUUUUUCAGCUUGCAGACAGCCUACUGUGAGAUUUCACCUUGUGAUUGUUGCAACCAAAUACAAGUGACAUCUGUUAGGUGCUUGAACUUUCUCAAACACAGGCAAUGCCCCCACUGCUGGAUAGAUUGCUGUUGACAGCUUUUGACCAGAGGGAGCCAUUAGAUUUUGCUGGCUAGCAAACAAUUACAGCUUUGAUAUGAGCUACAAGGUGGUGAGAAUACAGAUGUGCUGGCUGGAGGCGGAACAGUCUUUUUGGACAAUGCUGUAAUAAUUGCAAGUUGAAGAUGACAGAGAAAAACAUAGAGGAGCCCAAGUCCCUGCUGACCCCAUGGACCAGCAUCCCAUCUCCACCCAUGGAUUAGCUAUCCUGGGCUUUUUUUUUUUUUAAUUGGAGAGAGACACAAAUAUGCAUAUCGGAGUUUUCAAUUACUCAGAACCAAGCGGUCAUAAUGAAUAUAGUUUUAUUCUUACAACACUCAUUUAAAAAAUACUUUGUAAAUGAAUGACAACAUUAAUUAGAAUAACAGUUAUCAUUUUUAGAUCACCUCUGGUGGUCUAACACUUUACCUAGGUAUAUGUAUCUCAUCUAAGUCUCUCAGCAUCCCAUGAAGUAGGCCUUAUUAUUAGCUGCUCCAAUUCACAGGGGUGAAGGCUCAAGGUCAAAGAAAGAGAUCAGUCAGGAUUUGAACCAGGCCAUUGAAAUCUAGUGUCUGACUCUUCCUGUCUUGCAUAUCCUGCCUUCCCUAACUAGAUACAAAUUAAGAAAAACAAAACAAUUUAUUUUUUUUCGGAAAUCAUGAAGACAAAAUUAAUAAAUUCAUUGAGUUUUUGAAAUGUAUUUUCUGUCUUUUUCAGUAAGCAUGCAAACUGCAAUACGAUUCAAAAAACAAAGUUAUCUGAAAAUAAUACAUUUUUAGAUAUAUGCGUUCUAGGAAUAAUGUUCGUGAACUUAAGAUAGAAAAAUAUGAAAUAUCAACAGCAUAUAGAAACAUAAACUUCUGAAAAUAUAAAUUAAAUAACAACUUUUUAAAUUACUUUUAAAUAGACAGUCUUCCAAUUCAUAUGACUCUACCAUUCCUGUAUGUUUUCAACUGAUGUGUGACUUCUCCUAUUAUUCAGUCAGCAAUGAGAGUAGGAAUUUUUUCCUGUACAAGAUAGGUGGUCAUAUAAUUUAUAGCCUGGAUUGGACUUAGAGAAAUCCUAAUUCAAUCUGUUUAAUUUAUCAAUAAAAAACUAUUAGACAAUAGUUUCUCUAUUAGAACGA